UUACAUUUAAAUCUUGGUUCCUCUAAAUACUGAUCAAUCUUAUAUUUUUAUAAUCCUACAAAUUCAUUCUAAUUAACAUACAAUGAAUAUAUAUAAUAGAUGAUUAAUCAUAACAUCACACAAUAAAUGGAUAAUAAACUAAAAUCAUUG